AACGCAUCUUGCGCUCUUUGGUAUUCCAAAGAGCAUGCCUGUUUGAGUGUCAUUAAAUUCUCAACUGUACCAAUCCUGUUGGUGUAGCUUGGAUUUGGGGGACCAUUUGCAGGCCUUUCAAUUGAAUGAAGCCAGCUCCUCUGAAAUUGAUUAGUGGUACCUUUGUGGAACCAAAGGCAUGAUAAAUAUCUAUGCCUUAGAUGUCCACAGCAAUAGGUUAUGCUGCUUCUAAUUAACUGAUUAAUGACAAAAUUGACCUCAAAUCAGGUAGGACUACCCGCUGAACUUAA
rnacentral:misc_RNA from 1 species